rnacentral:rRNA from 1 species
AUUGAACGCUGGCGGCAGGCCUAACACAUGCAAGUCGAGUGGAUGAAGGGAGCUUGCUCCUGGAUUCAGCGGCGGACGGGUGAGUAAUGCCUAGCAAUCUGCCUGGUAGUGGGGGAUAACGUCCGGAAACGGGCGCUAAUACCGCAUACGUCCUGAGGGAGAAAGUGGGGGAUCUUCGGACCUCACGCUAUCAGAUGAGCCUAGGUCGGAUUAGCUAGUUGGUGGGGUAAAGGCCUACCAAGGCGACGAUCCGUAACUGGUCUGAGAGGAUGAUCAGUCACACUGGAACUGAGACACGGUCCAGACUCCUACGGGAGGCAGCAGUGGGGAAUAUUGGACAAUGGGCGAAAGCCUGAUCCAGCCAUGCCGCGUGUGUGAAGAAGGUCUUCGGAUUGUAAAGCACUUUAAGUUGGGAGGAAGGGCAGUAAGUUAAUACCUUGCUGUUUUGACGUUACCAACAGAAUAAGCACCGGCUAACUUCGUG